GGUUUUUAAUUAUAAAGAAUAAAAUUCUUGUAAUAAAACUAAAAGGACGCGGUAACCUUGACCGUGAUAAUGUAGCAUAAUCACUCGCCAUUUAAUUGAUGGAUAGUAUGAAUGGUUGAACGAAUAUUUCACUGUCUUAAAAAAAAACAAAUAAAAUUAAAAUAAUAGUUAAGAUGCUAUUUUAAACUGUAAGACGAAAAGACCCUAUAGAGCUUAACUAUAGUUUUCUUAUAAAAUAUAAAAAUAAUAUUUUUAUACUAAAGAAGAUUGGUAGUUUAGUUGGGGCGACUACCUUCUAAACAAAACGAAGGUAAGCAAAGUAAAUAAAGAACUUAUUAUAUAAAUAAAAUAUUUAAUAAUUACAAAAGUAGGCUAUAAUGACCCGUUAGAACUAAAUAAAAACCCUAACGAUCAAUUAAUAAAAGCUACCUUAGGGAUAACAGGAUAAUUUCAUUUUAGAGUCCCCAUCGAAAAUGAAGUUUGUCACCUCUAUGUUGAAUUAA
rnacentral:rRNA from 1 species